AGGUGGAUGUGUGGUGGGGUUAAAGGAAUCUGAUUUUGAGAUUGUGGUCAUGCUCCUGCACUCUGCACACCCACUUCU
ensembl:miRNA